CUCACAUUAAAGAGCACUAAGUGAUUUUCAAGGCAAUGACAUGUGACACUUGAAGGUAUCGGAGGCGCGCCAUGCGGUCUACUUGAAAGACUUGCGGUUAUUUUCAUACCGUAUCUAAGCGAGUAUGUAAGGACGCCCAGCAUUUGCUACCACCAUUAGCUUAAGAUUCCUGCGGCUGGCAUCUCUGUAAUGCAGCAGACGAUUAAUUACCCACAGCUCUGUUUGUUAUCGAUCUGCUAACCCCACCACCAAACGCAAGACAUGCCAGAAAUGCACACAAAGGGACCAGCCCGACAAAAGACCAAUAAUAACCAUCAUAUCACCUCGUAAA